rnacentral:rRNA from 1 species
GACGAACGCUGGCGGCGUGCCUAAUACAUGCAAGUCGAGCGGACCACUUCGGUGGUCAGCGGCGGACGGGUGAGUAACACGUGGGCAACCUGCCUGUAAGACGGGGAUAACACCGGGAAACCGGUGCUAAUACCGGAUAAUCCUUUUCUUCACAUGAAGGAAAGCUGAAAGACGGUUUCGGCUGUCACUUACAGAUGGGCCCGCGGCGCAUUAGCUAGUUGGUGAGGUAACGGCUCACCAAGGCCACGAUGCGUAGCCGACCUGAGAGGGAGAUCGGCAACGCUGGGACUGAGACACGGCCCAGACUCCUACGGGAGGCAGCAGUAGGGAAUCUUCCGCAAUGGACGAAAGUCUGACGUAGCAACGCCGCGUGAGCGAUGAAGGCCUUCGGGUCGUAAAGCUCUGUUGUCAGGGAAGAACAAGUACCGGAGUAACUGCCGGUACCUUGACGGUACCUGACCAGAAAGCCACGGCUAACUACGUGCCAGCCGCCGCGGUAACAC